rnacentral:rRNA from 1 species
AGUAAUGCUUGGGAAUCUGGCUUAUGGAGGGGGAUAACGACGGGAAACUGUCGCUAAUACCACGUAUUAUCGGAAGAUGAAAGUGCGGGACUGAGAGGCCGCAUGCCAUAGGAUGAGCCCAAGUGGGAUUAGGUAGUUGGUGGGGUAAAGGCCUACCAAGCCUGCGAUCUCUAGCUGGUCUGAGAGGAUGACCAGCCACACUGGAACUGAGACACGGUCCAG